rnacentral:ncRNA from 1 species
AAAAGGUGCCUGCCUUCGGGGCAGGAUAAUAGGGAACAGGGUGAGAAUCCCUGGCGGUCCCGCCGCUGUAAGAGCGGAGUCUCAUUCCGGUCCUGAAAAAACAGGUUCCAAGCCACUGGCUUUUGACAUGCCGGGAAGGCGGAGUGUUGAGGCCAAGAUGCUCAAGCCAGAAGACCUGCCUUUGCC